rnacentral:rRNA from 1 species
UACGUAGGGUGCAAGCGUUGUCCGGAAUUAUUGGGCGUAAAGAGCUCGUAGGCGGUUCGUCGCGUCGGCUGUGAAAACCUGAGGCUCAACCUCAGGCCUGCAGUCGAUACGGGCGGACUUGGGUACUGCAGGGGAGACUGGAAUUCCUGGUGUAGCGGUGAAAUGCGCAGAUAUCAGGAGGAACACCGGUGGCGAAGGCGGGUCUCUGGGCAGUAACUGACGCUGAGGAGCGAAAGCGUGGGGGAGCGAACAGG